AAAAGCAAAGUAUAUAGUAUAAAAUAUAUAGUAGGUAGAACGGCACGAGGUGCAACAGAAGUGGACAAAUAAAGAUACAGAGAGAUAAACAAAUAUACAUAUUUAUAUAUAGAGAGAGAGAGAGAGUAAGAACAAGUGAUAGAGAGUGACAAGUGAUGGGGGCUCUCAGGUGCGCUACAGCAAAGUAUACGGAAAUACACAGCAAUCGAGCCAGACUCUUCGAUUAAAUGAACAAGUUUAUCGCCCUCGAGAUCUUCAAUAACAUCUCCACUUGGAUCCUUUUGCACUAACCGGCGUAUAUAACUGGCUCUUUGGAAGUUGGCUUAAAGAAAACUAUAGCUGGCAGUGCAAAGACACCAUAUUCCUUGGCCAUUUGCUUA